CACACGACUCUCGGCAACGGAUAUCUCGGCUCUCGCAUCGAUGAAGAACGUAGCGAAACGCGAUACCUGGUGUGAAUUGCAGAAUCCCGUGAACCAUCGAGUCCUUGAACGCAAGUUGCGCCCGAGGCCAUCCGGCCGAGGGCACGCCUGCCUGGGCGUCACGC
rnacentral:rRNA from 1 species